ACACAUAAUCCGAGCGAUGAAGAUAAAAGAAAGCAGCGAGACUCGAUCCACUCACUCCGUCCUUCAUGCCGAAGGCUAUUGUGUGUGAAAUUACGCACGUUCCUAUCCUCGCUACCGGCGCCGUCAAGUUGGAUCUCACCUCACAGGACUUAUCUCCCACCUAGAGCGACCGGAAAAAAUAUAUAUUCUUUUUUUUACUAUUGAGAAUGCAUUUAGUCGUAGAUUCUCACCUAACGUAAGAUUGGCACGAUAGCUCGUGCUCCAUCGUCAUCUAUGUCAAAGGGACGCGAUCACGUUAUUUAUGAAAGUACAAAAUAACGUACAUCGCACUUCGACUACCGCUUACUUCGCGUAAAUCCGAAGUUUGCAUGAUAUUCUUUUUUUUUACCUUUUUGCUCUUUACGUAGGAUAAUGUGGUGAUACUAUAUUAAUUGCGUGUGGUAUUGUCGAAUUCGUGAUAAGCUACGAUCGAUUGAACUUCUGUCUGUAUGGUCAGGAAAAAAUCUAUGAUCUAGUAAGUGAUACGGGUAAAUUGUUUGUUGAAACUUCUCUUUUGUGCGUCGCAACAAUUAAGCAAUCGUUGAAAACAGCAGCGAUCGAACGAUAAACGUCUGCUAUCAGUUCCUCGUCAUAACGAGCGACAUAUGCAUCGUGGCAUAUUACAGAAACGUACCUCUAACGAUAAGGAAGGCUAAACUGAGAUCGAUUCGAGUUUACUCGUAGAUACACGACAUUAAUGUUCAAUCGAAAUGGAUCGCUCGCGCAUUGUGAUCGAUGAUAGAUUAUUGGUUUAGAAUUGCGUGACGUAUUCCUCAAGGUCUUCGCGCGAUAAAAUAAAACAUUAUCUUGUAUCGACAUACAGUCAUGAUAUAUCAAGAGAAAAAUUGAAAUAAAUAUUUCUAAUUAACAAAA